CUUGGUUAGCGACUGCUUAUAUCCUUCUCUUAUAGACAGCGUGUCUCUCCCUUUCCCAGGUAGAGGCUUCGAUCUCCUGUGAUAUGGAGAAAAUGAUGGUUUACAGUUUAUUGGCGAUUGGUCUAUGUAUGGAGUUGGGAUGUAGCACAGCUGGAAGAACAUUCGAGUGAAGAAAAGCAUCCUAAAACCACAAGAAAUUGAAAUCCCAGUUUUGCCUGUUCUGUUAUUUCCUUUCUGAAAUGCUGAAAAAAAAAUGUCCUCUUAAAAGAAAAAAAGGCAGAGCCCUUAAACAGCAAUGCUAUCGUGUUUUCACAAGUGUAUGUGCAUACUGUAAACCAGCUGAUGACCCCCAUGUCCACCAUGCUGCUUCUGUGACUCUACUCUGCGUUCGUCAUCUCUGGAACUCAGUCAGGGGCGUCUGCAGCUGUCAGCAGGGGGUGGGGAGGAGGCCGUGGUGAACCUCACAUUGACUCUUACAGCUUCUGCCUAGAAGUUACAUGGGACCCUGGAUAAGAAAGUGGCUUUCCCGAUGCCACUGGCACACGGACACAGAAUCUUCCCGUAGGGAACAGCAGCAAAUAUUUGGGAAUGAUAACGUAAAGACCAAAGCACUUAGUAAAUAUUUGCUGAUUGAAUGUUCCUAUGCAGUAAGUAAUCACAUCCCAAUGUGUUAUCUGGUUGAAACUCUGCACACCACUCUCA
rnacentral:lncRNA from 1 species